rnacentral:rRNA from 1 species
AACGAGGUAGUUCGACUCGUCGCUACGAGACGACGCUGGCGGCGGUGGAUUAGGCAUGCGAAGUCGAACGGUAUCAUCCUUUCGGGGGUGAGAGAGUGGCGAACUGGUGAGUAACACGUAGGUUAUCUACCCUCAAGACGGGGACAACCCAGGGAAACUUGGGCUAAUACCGGAUGUGAGCAACUUUUAGUUGUUUGAAAGGUGGCGUAAGCUGUCGCUUGGGGAUGAGCCUGCGUCCUAUUAGUUAGUUGGUGAGGUAACGGCUCACCUAGGCAAUGAUAGGUAGGCGGCCUUAACGGGUGGUCGCCCACACUGGGAUUGAGAUACGGCCCAGACUCCUACGGGAGGCAGCAGUCGAGAAUAGUCUACAAUGGUCGGAAGACUGAUAGUGCGACGCCGCGUGAACGAUGAAUCCCUUCGGGGUGUAAAGUUCUUUUAUAUGUGAGCAGUGCUUCUUAUAUUAACAGUAUGGGGAGAGAGAUAUUAGCAUAUGAAUAAGCAACGGCUAACUCCGUG